UCCCAAUGCGGUGGCGCGUGCCGGUAGUCCCAGCUACUCGGGAGGCUGAGGUGGGAGGAUCGCUUGAGCCCAGGAGUUCUGGGCUGUAGUGCGCUAUGCCGAUCGGGUGUCCGCACUAAGUUCGGCAUCAAUAUGGUGACCUCCCGGGAGCGGGGGACCACCAGGUUGCCUAAGGAGGGGUGAACCGGCCCAGGUCGGAAACAGAGCAGGUCAAAACUCCCGUGCUGAUCGUUUGUAUGUUUUCUUUGGGAAAAUAUCUAUUCUGGUCCUUUGCCCAUUGCUAAUCAGGCUAUUU
ensembl:misc_RNA Metazoa_SRP Metazoan signal recognition particle RNA